GUUUUUCUUUUGGGUUCUAGUACCCCGCCUGAACUUAAGCAUAUCAAUAAAGCGGAGGAAAAGAAACCAACAGGGAUUGCCCUAGUAACGGCGAGUGAAGCGGCAACAGCUCAAAUUUAAAUCUGGCUCUUUUAGAGUCCGAGUUGUAAUUUGCAGAGGGCGCUUUGGCUUUGGCAGCGGUCCAAGUUCCUUGGAACAGGACGUCACAGAGGGUGAGAAUCCCGUACGUGGUCGCUAGCUAUUGCCGUGUAAAGCCCCUUCGACGAGUCGAGUUGUUUGGGAAUGCAGCUCUAAAUGGGAGGUAAAUUUCUUCUAAAGCUAAAUAUUGGCCAGAGACCGAUAGCGCACAAGUAGAGUGAUCGAAAGAUGAAAAGCACUUUGGAAAGAGAGUCAAACAGCACGUGAAAUUGUUGAAAGGGAAGCGCUUGCAGCCAGACUUGCUUGCAGUUGCUCAUCCGGGCUUUUGCCCGGUGCACUCUUCUGCAGGCAGGCCAGCAUCAGUUUGGGCGGUGGGAUAAAGGUCUCUGACACGUUCCUUCCUUCGGGUUGGCCAUAUAGGGGAGACGUCAUACCACCAGCCUGGACUGAGGUCCGCGCAUCUGCUAGGAUGCUGGCGUAAUGGCUGUAAGCGGCCCGUCUUGAAACACGGACCAAGGAGUCUAACAUCUAUGCGAGUGUUUGGGUGUCAAGCCCGAGCGCGUAAUGAAAGUGAACGGAGGUGGGAACCCGCAAGGGUGCACCAUCGACCGAUCCUGAAGUUUACGGAAGGAUUUGAGUAAGAGCAUGGCUGUUGGGACCCGAAAGAUGGUGAACUAUGCUUGAAUAGGGUGAAGCCAGAGGAAACUCUGGUGGAGGCUCGCAGCGGUUCUGACGUGCAAAUCGAUCGUCAAAUUUGGGCAUAGGGGCGAAAGACUAAUCGAACUUCCUUUAGGUCCA
rnacentral:rRNA from 1 species